rnacentral:rRNA from 1 species
AUUGAACGCUGGCGGCAGGCUUAACACAUGCAAGUCGAGCGGGGACUUCGGUCCUAGCGGCGAACGGGUGAGGAAUGCUUGGGAAUCUGCCCAGUAGCGGGGGAUAACGUUUCGAAAGGAACGCUAAUACCGCAUACGCCCUACGGGGGAAAGGGGGGGAUCUUCGGACCUCUCACUAUUGGAUGAGCCCACGUCGGAUUAGCUAGUUGGUGGGGUAAAGGCCUACCAAGGCGACGAUCCGUAGCUGGUCUGAGAGGAUGAUAAGCCACAUGGGAACUGGGACACGGUCCAGACUCCUACGGGAGGCAGAAGUGGGGAAUAUUGGACAAUGGGCGAAAGCCUGAUCCAGCCGUGCCGCGUGUGUGAAGAAGGCCUUCGGGUUGUAAAGCACUUUAAGCGAGGAGGAAUGGCUCUUGGUUAAUAACCUUGAGCAGUGACGUUACUCGCAGAAUAAGCACCGGCUAACUCUGUGCCAGCCGCCGCAGUAAUAC